AUCAGUUCUCGGCCUUUUGGCUAAGAUCAAGUAUAGUAUCUGUUCUUAUCAGUUUAAUAUCUGAUAUGUUCUCUAUCUGAGGACAAUAUAUUAAUGGAAUUUUGGAAGUAGAAGUUGGAAUAAGAGCUUGCUCCCCCCACUCCACAUGUCAACCUGGUAUUGCAGCACCUCCAGGAACUGUGCACCUCUU